rnacentral:rRNA from 1 species
UACGGAGGGGGCCAGCGUUGUUCGGAAUCAUUGGGCGUAAAGGGCGCGUAGGCGGCCAAUCAAGUCCGACGUGAAAUUCCCCGGCUCAACCGGGGGCCUGCGUCGGAUACUGCUUGGCUUGAGUCCCGGAGAGGGUAGUGGAAUUCCCAGUGUAGCGGUGAAAUGCGUAGAUACUGGGAGGAACACCAGUGGCGAAGGCGGCUCACUGGACCGGAACUGACGCUGAGGCGCGAAAGCGUGGGGAGCAAACAGG